rnacentral:rRNA from 1 species
ACGCUCGACACCUACGGGAGCAGCAGUGGGGAAUAUUGCACAAUGGGGGAAACCCUGAUGCAGCGACGCCGCGUGAGCGAAGAAGUAUUUCGGUAUGUAAAGCUCUAUCAGCAGGGAAGAUAAUGACGGUACCUGACUAAGAAGCUCCGGCUAAAUACGUGCCUGCAGCCGCGGUAAUCUGAGCGGGCUGGCAAGGC